GGAGUAAUGUCUGGGAAACGUGCCUGAUGGGAGGGGGUAACUGCUAGGAACGGUAGCUAAUACCGCAUAACGUCGCAAGACCAAAGAGGGGGACCUUCGGGCCUCUUGCCAUCGGAUGUGCCCAGAUGGGAUUAGCUAGUAGGUGGGGUAACGGCUCACCUAGGCGACGAUCCCUAGCUGGUCUGAGAGGAUGACCAGCCACACUGGAACUGAGACACGGUCCAG
rnacentral:rRNA from 1 species